GGGGAAUUUUGGACAAUGGGCGAAAGCCUGAUCCAGCCAUGCCGCGUGCAGGAUGAAGGCCUUCGGGUUGUAAACUGCUUUUGUACGGAACGAAAAGACUCCUUCUAAUAAAGGGGGUCCAUGACGGUACCGUAAGAAUAAGCACCGGCUAACUACGUGCCAGCAGCCGCGGUAAUACGUAGGGUGCAAGCGUUACUCGGAAUCACUGGGCGUAAAGAGCACGUAGGCGGCCUUGCAAGUCAGAUGUGAAAUCCAACGGCUUAACCGUUGAACUGCAUUUGUGACUGUAUAGCUAGAGUACGGUAGAGGGGGAUGGAAUUCCGCGUGUAGCAGUGAAAUGCGUAGAUAUGCGGAGGAACACCGAUGGCGAAGGCAAUCCCCUGGACCUGUACUGACGCUCAUGCACGAAAGCGUGGGGAGCAAACA
rnacentral:rRNA from 1 species